ACAAACAAACAAAUAAAUAAACAACUACUAUCCCCUUACUCCAUAGGAUGGUAAACAUGAGGCUAUAGUGAAGAACAUACAUGAAUUGUUAGUUUAGUUAGCCUGGGACUUCUCUCCCAAUCAGUUGGACCACUUGUUUGGCUGCUUUCAGAAGAGCUGGGUAGGAGCUAGUAAGAAGCAAAGAGAUGAACUGUUGGACUUUAUAAGAUGCUUAGCAGAGGAUGACUAGGAGGGAAUAAUGGCCAGUAAAGUGCUGGAGCUCAAAAACUGAUUUAUUAUUUUUUGUCGAGAAUCUCAUAAGUGCCAUUACUAAUUCUGCUCGUUCCUGUCCCUCAGUUAUGAAGAGAAUAUUUCAUUUAUUA